CCCUUAGAUGUCCUGGGCCGCACGCGCGUUACACUGAUGCAUUCAACGAGCUUAUAACCUUGGCCGAGAGGCCUGGGAAAUCUUGUUAACGUGCAUCGUGAUAGGGAUAGAUUAUUGAAAUUAUUAAUCUUGAACGAGGAAUUCCUAGUAAACGCAGAUCAUCAAUCUGCAUUGAUUACGUCCCUGCCCUUUGUACACACCGCCCGUCGCACCUACCGAUUGGAUGGUCCGGUGAAGCCUCGGGAUUGUGGUUCUUGCCGCUUUAUUGUGGCGUGACCGCGAGAACUUGUCUAAACCUUAUCAUCUAGAGGAAGGUGAAGUCGUAACA
rnacentral:rRNA from 1 species